GGGAUUAAAGAAAGGAGAGCAAGUGGAAGUUCCAUUGGUAUGAAUGGAACUUUUUCCAUGGAAUCUUGGUUACUAGGCUUCUAUCUAUUUUUCAAUAAAAGGUGGAAUACUUUUUA